AGGUCGGGAGGAUGACAGCUCGAGUGUAUUUGUCGUUGAUUGCUGUUUUGUCGUAUCUGUUCGGAUACUUGAGCAUAACUCACGCUAUUCAAAGAGGAACCACAGUGGAUGGUUUAUGUCCGGCGAGGCUGACUGUCGUGCCGUCCCAUCGAAGAUGUUCUUCUGAUAAAGACUGCCCUGGAG